rnacentral:rRNA from 1 species
UACGGGGGAUGCAAGCGUUAUCCGGAUUUAUUAGGUUUAAAGGGUGUGUAGGCGGGGCUGUAAGUCAGUGGUGAAAUCUCCCGGCUUAACUGGGAAACUGCCAUUGAUACUGUAGCCCUUGAAUGCAGUUGAGGUAGGCGGAAUGUGUAAUGUAGCGGUGAAAUGCUUAGAUAUUACACAGAACACCGAUUGCGGAGGCAGCUUACUAAACUGUGAUUGACGCUGAGACACGAAAGCGUGGGGAG